rnacentral:rRNA from 1 species
CACGUAGGGGGCAAGCGUUGUCCGGAUUUAUUGGGCGUAAAGAGCUCGUAGGCGGUUCGGUAAGUCGGGUGUGAAACCUCCAGGCUCAACCUGGAGACGCCACCUGAUACUGCUGUGACUCGAGUCCGGUAGGGGAGCGUGGAAUUCCUGGUGUAGCGGUGAAAUGCGCAGAUAUCAGGAGGAACAGCCGGUGGCGAAGGCGGGUCUCUGGGGCCGAUACUGACGCUGAGGAGCGAAAGCGUGGGGAGCGAACAGG